CCUACGGGUGGCAGCAGUGGGGAAUAUUCGGCAAUGGAGGCAACUCUGACCGAGCAACGCCGCGUGAAGGAAGAAGGCCUUAGGAUUGUAAACUUAUGUUGUCAAGGAAGAAAAGAAUGACGGUACUUUACAAGAAAGCCCCCGCUAACUAAGUACCAGCAGCCGCGGUAAGACAUAGGGGGCAAGCGUUGUUCGGAAUUACUGGGGGUAAAGGGAGCGUAGGCGGGAGAAUAAGUUAAGAGUGAAAGACGUGGGGCCAAACCAAGAAAUGCUAUUAAUACUGGUUUUCUAGAGUGUGAGAGAGGUAAGUGGAAUUACUAGUGUAGCGGUAGAAUGCGUAGAGAUUAGGAGGAACAUCAGAGGCGAAGGCGGCUUACUGGACCGUAACUGACGUUGAGGCUCGAAAGCGUGGGGAGCAAACAGGAUUAGAUACCCGUGUAGUC
rnacentral:rRNA from 1 species